CCUACGGGUGGCAGCAGUGGGGAAUAUUGCACAAUGGGGGAAACCCUGAUGCAGCGACGCCGCGUGAGUGAAGAAGUAACUCGUUAUGUUAAGCUCUAGCAGCAGGGAAGAAAAUGACGGUACCUGAGUAAGAAGCCCCGGCCAACGACGUGCCAGGAGCCGCGGGAAUUAGUAGGGGGCAAGCGUUAUCCGGAUUUACUGGGUGUAAAGGGAGCGUAGACGGCAGUGCAAGUCUGGAGUGAAAGGCGGGCGCUCAACCCCCGGACUGCACUGGAAACUGUACGGCUUGAGUGAAGGAGAGGUAAGUGGAAUUCCUAGUGUAGCGGUGAAAUGCGUAGAUAUUAGGAGGAACACCAGUGGCGAAGGCGGCUUACUGGACUUUAACUGACGUUGAGGCUCGAAAGCGUGGGGAGCAAACAGGAUUAGAUACCCCAGUAGUC
rnacentral:rRNA from 1 species